rnacentral:tRNA from 1 species
GGAGAAGUGGCAGAGUGGAUAAACGCAACGGUCUUGAAAACCGUCAGUCAGUAACAUGGCUCGUAGGUUCGAAUCCUACCUUCUCCG